AUUUAGUAAAUUAAAAAAGAUUAAAUAAAAAUUGUUAUUCAAUAAAAUUUUUUAAGAGAAUUGGCGGUGAUUAAAUAUAUUUUGAGAAACUUGUAUAUUAAGUGAUAUUACACAGAUUAUCUUACCUAAUCUAUUUAUUUAUGUAUUGCUGUUUAAUUUAUAAUUUAAUAUAAAAAUAAAUAAGAUUAUAUAUUAAUAAGAAAUUCAAGUCAAAAUGUAGUUUUUUUAGGUUUAUAUGAGUUGCUUUUUUAUGUAUAAGAAAAAUAAAAAUUUAAAUAUUUUUUUAUUAUUGGAUUAAAAUGUAAAAUGAAAGUAGUUAGUUUAUUUGAUAAUUUUUUUAUCAUGU
rnacentral:rRNA from 1 species